AUGGCGCCCGCAGCCUCUGCAAUUGAUCAAGUGGGCAUUGGCCGAAGCACGCUCUGGAAAUCCACUGCAAAAGCAACGAUGGGGCUGUAUGCUGAACAAGGUAACUUGUCCGCCAUCCCCACCCUCAAAUCGGUAACAAGUUUUGGGAAUGAGAGAUCAGAGGCACAAUGUUGCACGAGCAAAGCAACUGUAGAUAUGCAGAUGGGACAGUGGCCCGUGAUUGAUUUGGAAUCAGUGCUGGAAAAUCUGGAAUUUUGUGAAGGAUGGCCACAUCUGGCGCUUGAAAUUGUGUUUGUGCACUCGAACCGGACCAGUGAACACACAAAUCUAAUGCUUGGUUUGGCCUCUGCAUAUCAUCUGGGUCACGCUUGCUGCCAUGGCCUCAUCCCCCGAUCUGGUGGAGGAAAAUUGAAUCAGGCGAGAGUAGAGGUUGCUGUCACAAUACAGAUUACAACUCCAGCGAGAUUUGAGAAUUCCAGCUGUGGGAAGAGACAAUUAUCAGAAGCUGGUGUUGAGAAUCAUCGUAGCUGCCACCGAAGAGGAACUCCGAGUUCAGUUGCAUGGGAGGAACAUGUAUGCGGAGGAGAUGAUUGCCUGGGCGCGUUCACUGCUGCAAUCAAUACACCUAUUUUAGAGAGCGCGUUAGAAGGCCUUAUGGGAAAUCCAGCAUUGGGCUCCGUAGCAAUGAGAUGCUUGCCUCCUGCACCUCAGGGAUCUAGCUCAUGCGCGACACUGCAGUUGAUCAUGGGCGACAUCGGUGGUGUCAGUUUCUUUCAGAGUUGCAAGGGUGCUAGAGUUCGAGCGUAG
rnacentral:rRNA from 1 species